rnacentral:rRNA from 1 species
AGAGUUUGAUCAUGGCUCAGGAUGAACGCUAGCUACAGGCUUAACACAUGCAAGUCGAGGGGAAACGAUAUUGGAAGCUUGCUUCCGAUAGGCGUCGACCGGCGCACGGGUGAGUAACGCGUAUCCAACCUGCCCACCACUUGGGGAUAACCUUGCGAAAGUAAGACUAAUACCCAAUGAUAUCUCUAGAAGACAUCUGAAAGAGAUUAAAGAUUUAUCGGUGGUGGAUGGGGAUGCGUCUGAUUAGCUUGUUGGCGGGGUAACGGCCACCAAGGCUACGAUCAGUAGGGGUUCUGAGAGGAACGGUCCCCCACAUUGGAACUGAGACACGGUACCAAACUCCGUACGGGAGGCA